UGGGGAAUUUUGGACAAUGGGGGAAACCCUGAUCCAGCCAUUCCGCGUGUGCGAUGAAGGCCUUCGGGUUGUAAAGCACUUUUGGCAGGAAAGAAAUCGCACGGAUUAAUACUCUGUGUGGAUGACGGUACCUGCAGAAUAAGCACCGGCUAACUACGUGCCAGCAGCCGCGGUAAUACGUAGGGGGCAAGCGUUAAUCGGAAUUACUGGGCGUAAAGCGUGCGCAGGCGGUUCGGAAAGAAAGGUGUG
rnacentral:rRNA from 1 species